UACGUAGGGUGCAAGCGUUGUCCGGAAUUAUUGGGCGUAAAGAGCUCGUAGGCGGUUUGUCGCGUCUGCUGUGAAAACUCAGGGCUUAACUCUGAGCUUGCAGUGGGUACGGGCAGACUAGAGUGCGGUAGGGGAGACUGGAAUUCCUGGUGUAGCGGUGAAAUGCGCAGAUAUCAGGAGGAACACCGGUGGCGGAAGGCAGCUCUCUGGGACGGUAC
rnacentral:rRNA from 1 species